rnacentral:rRNA from 1 species
AGCGAACGCUGGCGGCAGGCCUAACACAUGCAAGUCGAGCGCCCCGCAAGGGGAGCGGCAGACGGGAGAGUAACACGUGGGAACGUGCCCUUCAGUUCGGAACAACCCAGGGAAACUUGGGCUAAUACCGGAUACGUCCGUAAGGAGAAAGAUUUAUCGCUGAAGGAUCGGCCCGCGUCUGAUUAGCUAGUUGGUGGGGUAAUGGCUCACCAAGGCGACGAUCAGUAGCUGGUCUGAGAGGAUGAUCAGCCUCACUGGGACUGAGACACGGCCCAGACUCCUACGGGAGGCAGCAGUGGGGAAUAUUGGACAAUGGGCGCAAGCCUGAUCCAGCCAUGCCGCGUGGAUGAUGAAGGCCCUAGGGUUGUAAAGUCCUUUCGGCGGGGAAGAUAAUGGCGGUACCCGCAGAAGAAGCCCCGGCUAACUUCGUGCCAGCCGCCGCGGUAACAC